GAGGCGUCGACCGGCGCACGGGUGAGUAACGCGUAUCCAACCUGCCCACCACUUGGGGAUAACCUUGCGAAAGUAAGACUAAUACCCAAUGACGUCUCUAGAAGACAUCUGAAAGAGAUUAAAGAUUUAUCGGUGAUGGAUGGGGAUGCGUCUGAUUAGCUUGUUGGCGGGGUAACGGCCCACCAAGGCGACGAUCAGUAGGGGUUCUGAGAGGAAGGUCCCCCACAUUGGAACUGAGACACGGUCCAAACUCCUACGGGAGGCAGCAGUGAGGAAUAUUGGUCAAUGGACGAGAGUCUGAACCAGCCAAGUAGCGUGCAGGAUGACGGCCCUAUGGGUUGUAAACUGCUUUUAUAAGGGAAUAAAGUGAGCCUCGUGAGGCUUUUUGCAUGUACCUUAUGAAUAAGGACCGGCUAAUUCCGUGCCAGCAGCCGCGGUAAUACGGAAGGUCCGGGCGUUAUCCGGAUUUAUUGGGUUUAAAGGGAGCGUAGGCCGGAGAUUAAGCGUGUUGUGAAAUGUAGACGCUCAACGUCUGCACUGCAGCGCGAACUGGUUUCCUUGAGUACGCACAAAGUGGGCGGAAUUCGUGGUGUAGCGGUGAAAUGCUUAGAUAUCACGAAGAACUCCGAUUGCGAAGGCAGCUCACUGGAGCGCAACUGACGCUGAAGCUCGAAAGUGCGGGUAUCGAACAGGAUUAGAUACCCUGGUAGUCCGCACGGUAAACGAUGGAUGCCCGCUGUUGGUCUGAAUAGGUCUG
rnacentral:rRNA from 1 species